rnacentral:lncRNA from 1 species
CAAAAUCAGAGGCGGCUCCUCUACUGUUCUUCUUCUUCAGUGAACUCGCCUCAACUCGCAUGAGUUUUGAGCGAGUUCACUCAUUGGUCCCCCCCCCUCCACGUCACCUCAUCCUCAACGGAUUUGUCAGAGGAGUACGAUAUUCUCUCAAAAUGCACGAUUUCGGAUUCAAAAGGACAAUUGUUGGACGAAUAGGAGCCGUGGAUAGAUGUGAAUCAAUCCACUCCCUCUAUUUGUCCCGAAAUUGUUCAAUAAAUCUGAAGAUUUUCGAAUUCUAGGCAGAAGUUUCGAGAUAUUUUUGAGGUUUAUAUAUAAGGUAAGUUCUUUUCUUGUUAAGGAGAGGAAAAUAUUUUCAGAAAAAGGGUAGAGUAAAAUUUCUAGGGUUCUUGAGCUUUUUUUCUUUUAUUUCUCAAGCUUUGGUCCGCUUUUCUUCAGAAAACGAAAAAAAAUAAAAAAUGGUCUAAGUUUGUGUUCUUCGUUCAAGUUUUAUUUCCAAAGAAACCAGAAGAUUCUACGACUUUUGUUGCUGUCCUGUUACUGUGAAGCUUCAUCUUAAGUUUUCUUCUUCUUUAAACUUUGUUGAGGAAAGGAAGAGGAACUCGCCGGAUUUCGGAUCCUACAAUUAUAGUUAUUUUCUGCGUUUUGCUCAUAUAUCCGAGAUCUUUUUGUUCAAACAGGUUUUCUCUCAGUUCCUCCCCGUCUCGUUAUUUGUUUUUCUCUCUGCCUUGGAUUAAGUUUUAAUUUCAGUAAACAGAUGGUUUGAGUUAUUAUAUUUAAACAUUAAUCUAAUUAUGGUGGCCAAAAGAAGCCUAGGAUUAUGAAACCUUGAAAAAUCCUCUGUUUAGCUUAAUGCCUUGUUGCUCUUCUUUCUCUUUCUUUCAUUUGCUUGUAUAUUUAAUUUAAUCUUUUUCUUGGGAUGGGAAGUUAGAGAGAUGGUUAAAAGCCAGUGCAUCAUUUGCCUAUUUUUGAAGCAUAGGUAGCUUUAAUUGUUCAAAGUUGGAACAUGUAUUUUGUCUACCAUAUAAUAUCCCGUGUUGAAUUUUUCCAGAUCUUGUCCAGUGCUGGGAUUUUUUAUUUUUUUUAAAAAAAAAGUGCAAAGAAAGUUUAUUAUGGUUUAGCAACAUUAAAUACAAGAUAACUUGACAUGUUCUUCGAAAAGUUUAUAAAGAUAGACCACUCAUAUUUUUUUUUUAAUUUGUUUGGACAACCAUCUGAUUCGUACCCCUUUUGACGCGAAAUAUCUUGAUAUAAAAUGUAGAAGUAUUAAUUUUGGCUUUAGGAUCAACGUUGGUAGUGGUUCAAGAAAUGGUCAAAAGAACAAUAGAAGAUUUAUUUGUCGUAUAUUGUUUGCUUUUCCUAGGUAUCGGCUCAUGUGUUUAUUCUGAGGAUAAUUUUGACGUUACUGGUAUUUUACUCGAUUAUGUUGAAUAAAUUAAUAAUAUUUUUUUUAAAAAAAAAUUUGAUUUUUCGCACUUGUUUGAAAUUAAAUUAAAAUCAUUAUCUAGCUUUUGACCUCUUUUAGUUUUCCUGUGGUUUCCUUUUGGUCAUUUUCAGGGGCGUAAUUGUUUUAAAAAAAAUAACAUUCCAAAGUUGCUAUAUUUUUAUGCCAGUAGUAUUUCAUGAUAUAGUCAAUAUAUAUUAGCAUGUCUUUAACCUAGAGAAAAGGUGAAUAUACCAUAGACCCAAAAGCCCAAUAACUUGAGGUGUGCCACAUUUUAAAUCUAUAACCUAUGGCCCUCACAAAUUUAGAUCAAAUAAAUUGGGAUGUGCCACAUAUAAAAAAAAUCUUUUAAUUGAUGGCCCUCAAAGUUUAGUUUUGGGGCUUUCCCUCUAAAAUUGGAAUCGAGGUGUGCCGUGCCAAUUAAAAUCCCAAAAUACAUGACCCUUGUAUUAGUUUUAUAAUUUAGAUCUAACAAAUAUCAAAUACUCGUAGUUUGCUUUAGGCUCGAUUUAGAUUAGUAUUGCGAUUAUGUAUACUUUCGCGUAACAUAAUUGCAAAUUUAUUUCUAAAAAUGACUUGAGGGAUGCGUUCGCGCAANACUUCAACCAAACUUUUUCUUAAUAAAAUAAACAAAGCGUUAUUAAUCGUGGACACGUUCGCGUGACAUGACUUUUGACGCGCCAAAGGAAAAGAGUAUACGUACGCGUAACUCAAUUCUUUAAUUACGAAUAAUCAAGUGAUUUAAAAGUGGUAAAAAAAAAUAAAUGCACAUAGGUCCUAAAAAUGAGUAGUCAGACAAUUUAAGCCAAGUAUAAAUUGCUAAGUGACCGUGCUAGAACCACGGAACCCGGGAAUGCCUAACACCUUCUCCCGGGUUAACAGAAUUCCUUACUUAGAAUUUUUGGUUCGCAGACUUCAAAAGGAAAGUCGAAAUUUUCUCGAUUUGGGAUUUAAAUAAACCGGUUACUUGGGACACCAAUUAAAAUAUUCCAAGUGGUAACUCUGAAAAAUAAAUAAAUAAUCUCAUAUCGAAUAAUGUCACUUAAAUUGGAAAACUCCCUUAUAUACUUCUCGGGGUGUGUUAAAAGGAGGUGCGACAAUAGGCUGAAGACUGUGCGACCGACUGGGACAACCCUGAUGAUCCUCCCCGAAAAGCUGAUCUUCCCUCACCUAGUGACUCACCCAUGUUGCCCGUAGACCGGGCCUUUCUGUUACCCUCUCUCUCACCAUCCUGUUCUUUAGUUUACAGUUCUCUGUGGCCUGAGCAAAUGCCACCAUCUUCCCAUAAUUCAUGUCAGAAUCCAAGGCAGCUAUAGAAGCUUCAUUAAUAGUCAAAGGAUUAAGGCCCUGAACAAAUCGCCGCACCCUGGCCUCCAUUAUGGGCAACAUGUGAAUAGCAUAUUUGGACAGGCGGGCAAACUCCAUGUGGUACUCCCACACACUUCUUCUACCUUGCUUUAGAUUCUCAAACUCUACUGCACGAGCUGCCCUUGUCUCAGCAGGUAGGAAAUGAUCUACAAAAGCAUCGGCAAACUCGCUCUACCUUACCGGAUGGCUCCCCUCCUCACGGGAAUCUUCCCACAACUCAAACCACGAGUAGGCCAUCCUUUUCAGACGGUAGGCGGCCAACUCUACUCCCUCUAUCUCAGUUGCACACAUAACCCUGAGGGUCUUGUGCAUCUCAUCAAUAAAAUCAUGGGGGUCCUCCUUUGAAUUGGCACCCGUAAACACUAGAGGGUCUAGCUGAAGAAAUUUGUUUACCAUAGAACUUGUGGAAUUCCCUUGCUGGAUAGAUGAACUGGGUGCGGCAUUUGACCUCUGGGCCUGAGAGGCCACUAGCUGGGUCAACAUCUGGAUAGCUCCCCUAAGAUCCCCAUCAGAAAUACCGAAACCGAAAGCUGGGGCUGGAUGCGGGACAAGAAUACAGGCGGGAGGGAUGGUGGUACCCUCCAUAGAUGUAGGAACUAAGGUAAUCUGCUCUGGAGUAGAAGAAUCAGGCAGUGUGAUAGUAGGGCGAUUAUCCUCACCCGCAGUAUCAAGUAGUGAAUCAUCAGCCACUCCUAAGGUGGCAUUGGCUUCUUGACUAAUUCUCGCUUUCUUCUUAGGUGCCAUGUACUGAAAAUUGAAGGAGUGCACUAGUUAGAAGAGGAAUGGUUUCACAAUUGCCGCACGAUCCAGAAUAUCAAAGAAGGGUGUUAUUCCUAAAUUCCCAAGUAGCCUCCAACUUAUAGAUGUGGUCGACUACACACCGAUAAGAAGGACUCAACUACACACGUCUCCCAGACAUCCUAGGACACUUUCAAACCUUAGGCUUUGAUACCAAGUUUCUCAUGCCCCAACCUCAGGAGGCGUGACCGACGCUCAAUCGAGUGAACUCAACUGAGCAAGCCUUUUUAAACACUUUCUACCCAACUCAAUAUGAUUAAGGGAACCAUGUUUUUGUUUAUUUUAACAAUAAGGGAGAUCGUACAUUCAAUAUUGUUAGUUCAUUUUAUAUCACAAACCUUAAACCUGUGGUCAUUUUCCCAAAACAUUAUGCAGUUACAGUUUAGAGGAAACAAGAGUUUACAAUUACAAAAUGAUCUAGUGACCCAUCCAACCCGAACAUAACCCGUAGAAACGUCUACGGAGCCUCUAAGGGUACAAAAGAUAGUUAUGAUAAUGCCGGCAACAAGGCCCCGACUAUACCUCAAAAGUGGAAAUUUACAUCAAAUGAUGUACAACAUCACCCCUUGAAGGAAAAAGCGCUCACCAAGACUUUGAGAGGAGGAUACUCUGCUCUGCACGAUCGGCACUAUCCACUAUAGCGCCACCUACAUUCAUUCAAAAAUGUAGCGCCCUAGCAAAAGGGACGUUAGUACCAUGGAAUAGUACUAAUAUGUAUAACUAAACACCAUCUCAUUAGAAAGAACAAAGAAAUUACAAGGAACAAUCAAAGGCUUUAAACGACCACCACAUCAUCAAAUAAAAGAAUCAUAAAACUUUCACAAAAAUUCCGUAGCUUUAGGUUGGGGCCUUUAAUACUGUUCAUCAUCAUUUAUAAUACCAACGCUUUCUUGAGCGGAAUCCGAUCACGGCCCGAUCGGCUAAGCUGCCUCAUUUGAGACAUAUACCUCAAUCACUAUUUCAUUCUCACUUUCCAGUUUCAAUCAUCAACACAAUACCACCAUGUGAGUAGCAUGGUGUCCAAUCACGGCCCGAUCGGCUAGGCCAUCUUACCAAGACGUUACACCUUUUUCCAUUAAUCAUCUCACUUCACUUUUUGGUUUCACAUACAUUAGUUCAUCGGCACUUGGGACCACAAUUACCACAUCAAUACUUGGCACUAGGCCACAUUCCAUAACUCAUAUUUCUUAUUAUUCCCAUUUUCAACAUUAACCUUGCCAUUUAAGAUCAUAGGCACAUACAAGAGCAAUUUAAGUUGUAAGCAUAAAGAGGAAUUCACCUAGUUCGGCAUAAUAAUCACAAUGUAACCUUGACUUGAAAUUUAGGCAUUUUAGCACAUAGUUCAUGUUCUUCACACACCCUCAAUUUUACAAAGAAUAGCACAAUAAACACAUGGAAAUGCACCUUCCACAUGUAUUCUCACCACACUAAUUCAUUUGAUAUAACAAGUACUACAUCAAUCAAAUUCCAGACCUACGACAUUUGCACGGACACCAUGGAAGCUCAAUUUCUAAGGAGAGGGGGUUUUAUCCAUACAUACCUCAAUAGAACUUUCCUUAAAUCCUUACAAUAAUUCCGUAACUUUCAAGCAACUUCGAUCUAUUUUAUGAGAAUUUUAAAUUGAACCAAGAAUUAGAGACAGGAUUAAGAUUCUAGCUCAUUUCAGUAUAUUAUCACGCACUAAGUGUGCAUUGUAAUUUUUGGACUCUUUUGUGAGAGAUUUUUUUACAUCUUACACUUCAAUUGCUAUCUUUUUAACUCACAAUCUCCCCAUACCCUAUUAUCAUUUAUGCAUGCAAGACAAUCAAUCCUUAUACCCCAUGAACCCACUUGUUAAUUACCUAUUCUAGUAUGAAUUUCGAAAUCAAAGGUUAGGACUCAAGUUCUUACCUCUUGGAGUAAAGGCCUAGUAGCUUUACUUGAUAAUCUUUAAGGGUUUAGGUAAGGUUUGAAUGGGGACUUAAUGAAGAUCACUCUCUCUCUAUAGCACAUUCUCUCACCUUAGAUGUAGUAGAAAAAUAGCAUAAAAGGGUCUAAUGGGGUGUUUUAAUGGAAUAGGGCCGGGUUUUAAAAGUUAGAAAAUAGGAGCCCCGACACAAUCUGCGAUCGCAUAACUGACAUGCGUCUCGCAAAAGGGACCGCAAAAAUGGCCCCCAAAACCUGAACAAACUGCCCAGGUAUGCGACAAGAAUGCGGUCCGCAUACCCGUUCUGUGGUUGCAUAAUGCACCGCAAAACUACCCCUCGCCAAAAUUCCAAGGAGAUUAUGUGAUGACUAGGCGGCCCGAAUGUCAAUUAUGCGAUCGCAUAAUUGGCCGCAUAGUUGACCUCAAAAUUAACCAGCACUUUGUCUGACUCUGCUGCAACUAUGCGGUCCGCAUAGCUAUAAUUCGACCGCAUAAUUGAUUGAAAAAAUGUAUUUUUCUGAAAAUAACUUUUCCAUGCACAGACCAAUCCAAAAAGGUCUGAACACAAUUUCUAACACAUAUCCCUGACUUGGCACUAUGAGAUUUUGGGUUUUGGAGUAAAAUUUCACGGGGCCUUACAGGUCGGGUGUGGCCAAUUUCAUGAUUUUUGAGUUAAUUUGAUAAUUUUCAUAUGGGUUUCAUUCCUUUAGCGUAUAUUGAUGAUAAUAUACUGAUUUUGGUUAGAUUCGGGGCAUUUGGAGGUCGAAUCGAGAUGCAAGGGCAUCGCGGCUAGAGUUUGGCUUUGCUUGAGGUAAGUAACGCUUCCAAACUUGGUUCUGAGGAUUCGAAACCCCGAACUAUGUGUUUUAUGAUUACUAUUGAUGUGACACAAAUGCCAAGUGAUGGGCGUGUGGACGUGCACCGUGAG